rnacentral:SRP_RNA from 1 species
GCCAGGCACAGUGGUGCACGCCUAAAGUCCCAGCUACUUGGGAGGCUGGGAGGGGAGGAUCGCUUGAGCCCAGGAGUUCUGGGCUGUAGUGCACUAGGCCGUGUCCACGCUAAGUUCAGCAUGACUAUGGUGACCUCCUGGGAGCAGAGGACCACCGGGUUGCCUAAGGAGGGGUGAGGCCCAGGUUUGAAAUGGAGCAGGUCAAAACUCCCGUACUGGUCAGUAGUGGGAUUGCGCCUGUGAGUAGCCACUGCACUCCAGCCUGGGCAACAUAAUGAGACCCUGUCUCA